UCUAUUUCGUCUUUCCCAAAGCAUCCAGAAGUUGGAGAGGGGUUGCCGAAUGCAGUCUCCAUUGUUCACAGACACUUGAUUCUAUUCUCUCGCGCCAAAUGGCCAAAUCACUUUUUUUAAAAUCCAAAGUCUGAGUGCCAAAUCCUUCUUCCGGGACACGAAAUUGGCGCGAAGUAUUCCUUUGGAGGCGUCAAAUCCCUCUUUGUGUUGGUUUCCGGCACCGUCGGCCUGCCUGAUCCAAUCCCGGAGCUCGUGGCUGAGUACAAGACAUGGGCGUGUCCACGCGUGCUGAGCCGAGCCGUCAACUUGCCCUGCGGCGGAGGACGCUCGGUGCCGCCGCUCCCUCUGGCGCCUCGGUUCUAUCAAGCCAGCCAGUCAAGCAUGGCGGGCUACCACACCCCUCCAGCCGUCCCUGCAUCCGCGUCUCCAACUCGAUGGGCAGUCUGGCUUUUCCUGAUAGCCACGCCGCCACCAGUUGCAACAUCAGUGUUUUUUCCACGGAAUGGUCGCCAUUGUUCAGAAUUGGGCACAAACUGCUUCCAUUUGUGCAGCAUAAAUGCACUAAUGCAGCUUAAAUAAUAGCCUAAUAUUUCUAAGAAUCUUUCAGAUUUCGAAACGCUAGAAACUGUGUGUAGCUAAUUGCUCUUUUUAAGAACGGUGUGUAGCUAAAAGUUUUCAUCUUUUGAUUUGCUAUAACAUGGAUGCAGUGAUGCUUCAAAAUAUAUGUGAUGUGCCUUUUUUAGGUGAAUAGUUUUGGUACAUUUUCUUUAUCAGAGGACAAUCGUCAGAAUAGUUCCUGGAGUUAUAAGAGUUUUCUAUUAGUGUUGACAGGAAAGUAUUUAUCUCAUGUUAGAUUAAUUUAUUUUAUUGUGAGAAAUUUAUCGUUUGGAAUUCAAUAGGCCGGUGCUAGGUCUGCUGUCUCUCUCUGUGUCUGUGUGUGUGCAUGUA